AGUCAGACUGCACGAGAUAAGUUGGGUAGUCAAAAGGGAAAGAGCCCAGACCUACGGCUAAGGUCCCAAAGUGUGUGUUAAGUGGAAAAGGAUGUGGGAUUUCGAAGACAGCUAGGAUGUUGGCUUAGAAGCAGCCAUACAUUAAAAGAGUGCGUAACAGCUCACUAGUCGAGAGGUCCUGCGCCGAAAAUGUCCGGGGCUAAACACAACACCGAAGCCUGGGAAUGUAGUAAUACAUUGGUAGAGGAGCAUUCUUAGAAGCGUAGAAGCCAUACCGAAAGGAAUGGUGGAGUAAUAAGAAGAGAGAAUGCCGGAAUGAGUAGCGAGAAAGAGGUGAGAAUCCUCUUGGCCGAAUAUCUAAGGUUUCCUGAGUAAAGCUGAUCUGCUCAGGGUAAGUCGGGGCCUAAGGCAAGGUCGAAAGACGUAGUCGAUGGAUAACAGGUACAGAUUCCUGUACUACAUAUAAUCAGAACUGUGGGGACACGGAGACUAAAACCGAACCCGGGAGGACAAAAACCGGGGCAAGCGAAGUACCUGUAUGGGAGGAAAAACCACCAUACAAGGGGAAAACGUGAUGCGUACCGAAAAUUAGUAGGGAAGUCGGUUAGGGAGCCGUCAAGAAAAGCCGCUAUUGUGUUAUAUGUACCCGUACCGCAAACCGACACAGGUAGAUGAGGAGAGAAUCCUAAGGCCGGCGGGAGAAGCAUUGUUAAGGAACUCGGCAAAAUGACCCCGUAACUUCGGGAGAAGGGGUGCCACUUUAAUAGAGUGGUCGCAGAAAAAAGGCUCAAGCAACUGUUUAGCAAAAACACAGGUCUAUGCGAAACCGCAAGGUGAAGUAUAUGGGCUGACGCCUGCCCGGUGCCGGAAGGUUAAGAGGAGAAGUCAGGAAACGAAGCUUUGAAUUGAAGCCCCGGUAAACGGCGGCCGUAACUAUAACGGUCCUAAGGUAGCGAAAUUCCUUGUCGGGUAAGUUCCGACCCGCACGAAAGGCGUAAUGAUUUGAGCGCUGUCUCAACAAUGCACCCGGUGAAAUUGAAGUACCAGUGAAGAUGCUGGUUACCUGCGCCAGGACGGAAAGACCCCAUGGAGCUUUACUCCAGUUUGGUACUGGGAUUCGGUAAUACUCGUACAGGAUAGGUGGGAGACUAAGAAGCAUGGACGCCAGUUUAUGCAGAGUCGCCGUUGGGAUACCACCCCUGUAUUGCUGGAUUUCUAACCUGCAUCCGUAAUCCGGAUGGGGGACAAUGCCAGACGGGGAGUUUGACUGGGGCGGUCGCCUCCGAAAGAGUAUCGGAGGCGCUCGAAGGUUCCCUCAGAAUGGUCGGAAACCAUUCAAAGAGUGCAAAGGCAGAAGGGAGCUUGACUGCGACACCGACGGGUGGAGCAGGUACGAAAG
rnacentral:rRNA from 1 species